CCUACGGGUGGCAGCAGUGAGGAAUAUUGGUCAAUGGGCGGAAGCCUGAACCAGCCAAGUAGCGUGCAGGAUGACGGCCCUACGGGUUGUAAACUGCUUUUAUACGGGAAUAACGCGCCUUACGUGUAGUGCUUUGCAUGUACCGUCUGAAUAAGGACCGGCUAAUUCCGUGCCAGCAGCCGCGGUAAUACGGAAGGUCCGGGUGUUAUCCGGAUUUAUUGGGUUUAAGGGGAGCGUAGGCCGCAUGUCAAGCGUGCUGUGAAAUGGCCGGGCUCAACCCGGGCCGUGCAGCGCGAACUGGCGUGCUUGGGGCCGCGGAAAGCAGGCGGAAUU
rnacentral:rRNA from 1 species